AAAUUAAUUAAUAAUCAUCUAUAAAUAUAUCAUUAACCAACAGACCCGUUAUUCAUUUUUAAAACUUGAUUAAUUCUCUCGCAACCACCCACAAAAGUGAUAAAAGCAUAAGUAUAAAAAUGUCAAGAGAUUUGACAAAAUUUUGUAGGCCGAGUUAGAUUGACUUAGGUUCGUCCCAAACGGCUAAAUCACUUGUCCAUGCUUACCAAGAUGCCAAAAUACACGACAUAUUCCACAACAAACAAAUUCCGCUAUCUGAUAAUUCCCGAAAAUAUGUUCCAAAAAUAUAUAGAAAUGAUGGAAACAAAAUAA
rnacentral:sRNA from 1 species